GGGCCGUUUGGUUACUGGAUAAGGGGCAAAGUUAAUACAUGAAUAAUUUGGUUAUUCAUGUAUUAAUUUUAUACCAUGUUUGGUUUGUAAAUAGAAUCAAAAUUAUUCAUGUAUAAAUUUUAUACAAUGUUUGGUUGGUGUGUCUCCAAAUGUUGUAUAAAAGUUAUUCAUGUAUUGAUUUAUGUGUUGUUUGGUUGUAUUUUUGUAAUUCUACAUAGCUAAUACUCACAUAACUUAUGAGGAAAUCUAUGUAUAAUUUUAUGCGGGGUAGAAGGUGGAAUAAGUUAUGAGGGUAUUAGUUAUACAUGGAUUAAAAUAAUAAAAUUACAUAUUUACCCUUAAUUUGUUUACUUAAUUAUUUAUUUGUAAAUAAUAAUGUAUAUUAAUAUUAGUUAACAAAAUAAAGGAGUAAUUUUUUUUAAAAAAAAAGGACUGGCCUAAUUCAAUUUUUUUAGUUCCGUGAUUGCCUCCCCCCUAACAAACCCAGAAUUGUUUUCCCCCGACUGCAUUUUGUUAAUUGUGCGCAUCACACUAUAGAUUUGUUUCCCCCCCCCCCCACACACACACCCAAACUGUUGCAUUUUAUUAUUUGUGCGCAUCAACCUAUAGAUUUCUACCCCCCCCUCUCGCCCCACCCCCACAGGGGCCUGUUGCAUUUUAUCUUGGAUACAAGCUUUAUAAUUUUCUAUUUUAAAUAAAAAAUAUAUUAAUUUACAAUAAAUUAAACAAUCAAUAAGUUAUUAUAUAUUUAUUAUAAUUUCUACAUAACUAAAUCCUACAUAAAUAAUACCUACAUAACUAAUAUUGGGUAUUAGUUAUACAUGGAUUAAAAUAAUAAAAUUACAUAUUUACCCUUAAUUUGUUUACUUAAUUAUUUAUUUGUAAAUAAUAAUGUAUAUUAAUAUUAAUUAACAAGAUUAAGGAGUAAUUUUUAUUUUUUUAAAAGGACUGGCCUAAUUCAAAUUUUUUAGUUCCGUGAUUGCCUCCCCC
rnacentral:lncRNA from 1 species